UUAAGUUCAGCGGGUAGUCCUACCUGAUUUGAGGUCAAGUUGUCAAAGGAAGACGAGGGAAACCCUGCGUUCGUCGGCCUCGCGACCAACUAGUAGCUAAAGCAUCCAAGUCAAGGAUUGGAAGCAAACGGACUCAUUCAUGCUUGUCCUACGCUCCAGCGACGACGAUCAUUAUCACGUCAAGGCCGUGCACGUCAGAC
rnacentral:misc_RNA from 1 species